AAAUUUCAACCCCUUUCUUUUCUUUGAAAGGAAAAGGCGGCUUGGACUUUUGGAAGCUGCUGGCUUUGCAUAGUUCAGCUCUUCUCAAACCUAUUAGCACCGUUGCUUCUGGUUAAUCCAUUGGUAUGAUAAUUAUCUAUGCCUUUCGGAAUUUCUGGACAAAUGGGCACUGUGCUUCCAAUUGUCUGCAGAGACAGUUUUUGAACAA
rnacentral:misc_RNA from 1 species